CAUUUCUCAGUUGCACGAAUGCAACACUUGACUUCUCUAUGCCUGUCUCUGAAAGUAGGGCAGUCAAGACACCCCCAUUAAAGGAAGAGCCAUUUGCAUGUGAUAGGUAAAAGGAUGAAUACAUUUUGUAGCUGUUUUAAUUACUGUCAUAUAUACUAUGAGAAACAGUAUGGUGUGGCAAUGAAGAAAAUGACCUCCUGAAACAGACAGCCUGGGUUUGAGUCCCAGCUCUGCUACUUAGUCGCUGUGUGACCUUGAACACGUCACUUUACCUUUCUGUGCCUUAGACAUCUCAUCUGCAAAAUGGAAAUACUAAUAACACUGGCUUCGUAUGUGUUGAGGAUAAAGUGAAUAAAUAUUCAUUUGCAACCUAAA